CACUGCAGCGCCCACCUGUGGCCACCGGGUAAAAGGAAAGCAGCGUAAUGUACUGUCAGGUGGAGCCAGUGGCCGUGACCGAGGUGGCGAAGUGUCUGUCUGUCGCGCUGUGUCAUUAAUGUUUAACACUAAGGGACUGGAGUCACCGGACAUAUGAAAAGUCAUGUGAGAAACUGCACUUUACUGAACUGAAGAAAGACAACAUUCACAUCAGACAACGGGAGAGAUGGACAUGAAACAUCUAACGUGUUAGUUUAAAUGAAGACGCUUUGUUGUUUAAGGAGAUACACUUAGAACAAACUACACAGGUCAGAGUUCACAAAGGGAGGAGCCUCACACUGCCCUGCAUGAACACAACACAUGCAGGUGAGAUAACACACACAAAAAAAGACUACCUUUUUGGAAUGUCCCCGUACACCUGUUAUACUGGUGUGUGUAGGAGUGGUCCACUACUGGCAGACCCCAUUCAGUCAGGUCCUGAACAGCAGUCUUCAUGCCAACCAGAAAGAUGUGGUUACUAUGCAACAAGAUGGUAGCCUGCAGAUCAACAUUGCCUCUCCUCACCACAGCAGCCUGUACUACUGCCUCCUACUGACCGGAGGACAAACUACACUCAUCCUACCUGCUGACUGCCUGCAGUCGACAGGACCGUGUGGUCGAACCCAGGCGGGUGGUCAGGAGUGUUCUGGGUGGUCAUGGAGAGGGAUGUUGCCAUGGUUUCUGACGGUGUGUUUGUGGAGGCGGUGACGGCAUCAGUAGUGGUGACGUUCCUGGUGGAGUCCAGCUCUGGAGCUCUAAGCAGGAGUCUACUGGACAGGUGCAUGACUUUAUCUACCUAUAUUAAAUAUUUAUUAAACUGUUCAGUAUUUUACUUCAUGUUAGAUGGUUCCUCAUCCUGAAAGUAGAAUAUAGGCCAGGAGAAACUAAAUCAUG
rnacentral:lncRNA from 1 species